AUUUCCACAUAAACUUCACCCAUGGCACAAAAACUGCUUUCUGGAAAACCUUCCCAGGCCAGUUUCCACCAGUUCUACAGCAUGUUUGUGAAAGUGUUGACAAAAUGUAUAUAUGUAAACUUAUCUAACUCCCCUCACCGCAGUCUCUUGAUAUUUAACACAUGACAGCAGAAGACUGAGAGCUCAGAUCACUAGUGUAUUUUGCUGAAUAGGGUCUAUAACAUGACAACGAUGAGUGAUAAGACACAUUUAUGGACACCAAUUAUGCAAACGAAGCUUCUGUGUUAUGAAAAAUCUCUAUAUUUCCAUUAUUUCAGUGUUCACCAUCAGACAAGGACAAUGGCAGCCAAACCAUCUCAUGACAUUGUAGGAGCGAUGGCAGGGAUAGUGAUCGGUGGAAGUCUGGCCUUUACAGUCUGUUGUUUUCAACUCUGGUUUUUAUUGGUGGAUCCAAAUCACAAAGUUUGA
rnacentral:lncRNA from 1 species